rnacentral:rRNA from 1 species
UACGUCAGGGUGCAAGCGUUGUCCGGAAUCAUUGGGCGUAAAGAGCGUGUAGGCGGCUCGGUAAGUCCGCUGUGGAAAGUCCAGGGCUCAACCCUGGAAUGCCAGUGGAAACUGUCUGAGCUAGAGUCCGGAAGAGGCGAGUGGAAUUCCUGGGUGUAGCGGUGAAAUGCGCAGAGUAUCAAGGAGGAACACCAAUGGCGAAGGCAGACUCGCUGGGACGGUACUGCGCUGAGACGCGAAGCGUGGGGAGCAA